rnacentral:lncRNA from 1 species
CCUCUCGGACACCUUCUUCUAGCCUCAUCUUGUGUUUACCAUCUCGGUUAAAUCACUGGGGGCACUAGCAAUCAUCCGCUCAUAGUAAAAUGAGUUCAGGGUCUUAAGGAAGAUCUUGGUCAUCUCUUUCUCUUCCAAAGGAGGGGUAAUCUGAGCAGCAAGCUCUCUGGAUCUUUGAGCAUAUUCCUUGAACGUCUCCUUGUCCUUAUGAGACAAUGACCUCA